AUGGAAAAAGCCCUGUUGCUGUGGAUGAGGCAAAAACAGCUCACUGUGCUAGCCAGCCAAACAAGCACCUGCAUCCUCAGGACAAGCCCAAGUACAACACAGUCACUGUACCUGCAGACCUGCAGGUGCUACAUGUGCAUCUCCCAGCAACUGCCCAAUAUAACAGAACACAGCUCUCAUCAGAAGGAAAUGACAAUUCUUGCCAUAUUUUUUCAAGCUUUUUUUUUCUUUUGUAUGAGUAAACCAGGCACAAAUUCAGCACAGCCAAACACUGAUUUACUGCCACUCUUCUCAUUUUACCACCUUAAUAAAACAUCCAGAAAACGAGAAUGGAUGAAUAUAAAAUUAUUGCUGAUAAUAAAACAGAGUCCAAAGAUGCAUUUUCCCCAUAUUAUUACUCUAUGACAGUCCCA
rnacentral:lncRNA from 1 species